rnacentral:lncRNA from 1 species
UUACAUAACACUUCUAAUCUUGCUGACCUCCUGGACUAGCCCGUACCUGCAAACCUGGGGUUAAGGGAGUGGGGUGAGCUACUAGAGCCCAGUGAGCAGAAUAAUAAAACAUUAUAUUAAAAGUUCUGCUUUCAUGAAAUGCAUCACAUCACAAACAAAUCACGUUAAGGAUGAACUUAUCACCAAUAGUCCUCUACAUAUCCAAUAGUGCCAGGGACGUAGAAUGGGUCUUCCUGGACUUCCUCUUACAUAACAUAUCAUAACAUUCCAAUAUGCCAGGGACGUAGAAUGGGUCUUCCUGGACUUUCUCUUACAUAGUGCCAGGGACGUAGAAGGGUCUUCCUGGACUUCCAUACCAUAUCAUCAUCAUAUCAUACCAUAUCAUACGAGGACUAAUGGAUCAUUCAACAUUCAUCCACAUCAACAACAUAGUAUGCAAUGCAACAUAUUCGUGAAUUCUAAUGCAAACAACCUAAUAUAUCUCAUGGCAUUCGUGAUGCGUGAAUCAUGCUAAAAAUUUCAUUAUUUGCUUAAAACGUAAAGAGUCAUUCUACUCACCUCAGGCUAGCUCUAAAAGACACUGAAGCAGCUGACUCACUGCUGGGGUCCUCGGUUCCUCAGGUCCGAACCUACACAGGUGGACUCAAAUGAGGGACCAGACAAACAUGAACAUGACUCUAAAAUACUCCCCCAAAACCCCCUAAAACACCUUAAAAUAAUCAUGGAAAUCAUGCAAAGGAAGGCUGAACAGGGCACUUUCGGCGGCAGGUUUGGCGGCCGAAAGUCCCUCCAGAGCCGAAAGUCAUGCACAUUCGGCGGCACUUUCGGCGGCCGAAGGUUCACUCCAAAGACGAAACUCAUGCAUGAUCGGCGGCACCUUCGGCGGCCGAAACUCCUUUCCAGAGCCGAAAGUCCACUUUCGGGGGCAGGGUUCGGCAGCCAAAAGGCUUGCCUCCACAGGCAGGUUCGGCGGCCGAAAGUCUCUUCGGCUGCCGAACCUGAGUUCUUCCAAAGGGCAGAACUCAGCCUCCUAUAUGCACAGACACCUCCCAAACCAUUCAACUCAAACACAACACUUCUACAACAUGCAUACACAUAUACAUAAGCUCCUAGGGGCUUUAAACUAUCCUAAACCCCAACUACAACACAUCAAACAUACAUAAACAACCCACAUUGCUCAUAAACACAACAUAAACCUAUAAACUCAACAUUAACCUAAACUUGCAUUUCUACCCGAAAAAUCUCAUAAAACUUGUUUAAAACAUACAAGAAUGGUAGGAUCGAAGCUUACCUCUUGAAGAUCUAGGGGAGAAACGAUCCUAACUUGGAGAUGGGGAGAUCUAGCUCCUUGGGUCUCCAAGCUCCAAAACUUGCUCAAAGUUCACAAAUCUUCAAAAGCCAAGCAAACACUUGUUAAAACUUGAAAGAUUGGAGGAAAAUCAUUCAAAAACAACCAUGGGAGAGCAUGGACUCACCGUUGGCCGAAAAUGGGAAGAAAGCUCGCCCGUUUCAGCCAUGGAGCUCUUUUAUAGGGGCUGCCAGACCACCUUUCGACAGCCUAAGGUGCCUCCAAAAAUCAUGCAAGUUCGGCGGCCGAACAUGAGGUUCGGCGGCCGAACCUGAACCACUUUCGGAAGCCUAACUUGCCCCCCCUAAACUAUCCCAUGUUCGGCGGCCGAACUUGAGGUUCGGCGGCCGAACCUGGAAAUGCCUCUAUGGUCUUUUUCAUUCAAAACUCAAUUCCUUUCUUACUUAAAACCAUCAAAUACAUUAAAACAUUUUAUGAAAACAUGAUUUUACCCUUCUAGAGGUUUCUGACAUUCGAGAUUCCAUCGGACGGUAGGAAUUCUGAUACCGGAGUCUAGCCGGGUAUUACAUUCUCCCCCCCUUAAGAACAUUCGUCCCCGAAUGUUCACCAAACAAUCAUGCAAAGCAUAAAACAUUAACAUAUUUACAAAGCACAUAAAACUCACCUUAGAAGAGAUGAGGAUAUUGCUGGAGCAUGGACUCCCGUGUCUCCCAGGUACACUCUUCGAUGUUGUGGUGAUUCCAAAGGACUUUUACCAUCGGGAUUUCGUUGUUUCUCAACUUUCUGAUCUGGGUGUCUAGGAUCCGUACUGGCUGCUCAACAUAGGUGAGAUCUUCUUGGAUCUCCACAUCAGGCUCACUAAGAACCUUGCCCGGAUCUGACACAAACUUUCUUAACAUGGAAACAUGGAAAAUCGGAUGGAUUCUCUCCAUUGAAGCAGGCAAGUUCAGCUUGUACGAUACAUUCCCAAUCUUUUGCAAGACUUCAAAGGGCCCGAUGUACCGUGGAGCUAGCUUACCCUUCUUCCCAAAUCGAAUCACCCCUUUCAUUGGAGACACCUUGAGCAAUACCAAAUCCCCCUCCUGAAACUCCAUUUGCCUUCUGCGGAUGUCUGCAUAACUCUUCUGUCUGCUUGUGGCAGUCUUGAUCCUUUCUCUGAUUAUGGGCACCACUCUGCUGGUGAUCUCUACUAACUCAGGCCCUGCCAAGACCUUUUCUCCAACUUCUUCCCAAUAGACAGGCAACCUGCACUUCCUUCCAUACAAAGCUUCAUAUGGGGCCAUCCCUAUGCUAGCAUGAUGGCUGUUAUUGUAGGCAAAGUCCACCAAAGGUAGAUGAUGCCUCCAAGAACCGCCAAAAUCCAGCACACACAUUCUGAGCAUAUCCUCUAUUGUCUGGAUGGUCCUCUCUGACUGUCCGUCCGUCUGUGGAUGGAAAGCAGUGCUAAAAUCCAACCUGGUACCCAUAGCAUUCUGCAGACUCCGCCAAAACCUGGAGGUGAACUGGAGUCCUCUAGCAGACACUAUUGAAACAGGAACCCCAUGCAGCCUGACAACCUCAUCAACAUACUCCUGCGCCAACUUGUCGACAGAAUAGCCACUCCUGACAGGGAUGAAGUGAGCAGAUUUGGUCAGUCUGUCCACAAUCACCCAUAUGGAGUCCAAUCUGUUGGACGUUGUCGGUAACCCCACUACAAAGUCCAUAGCUAUAUUCUCCCAUUUCCACUCUGGAAUAGGUAGUGGGUUAAGCAUUCCAGCCGGCUUCUGAUGUUCCAGCUUCACCCUCUGACAUACUUCGCAGGCUGACACGAACUGUGCCACUUCUCUCUUCAUAGCUGGCCACCAAUAAACUCUCUUCAGAUCCUGAUACAUCUUGGUGGCUCCAGGGUGAACGCUGUAUCUGGCAUUAUGAGCCUCUCUCAUAAUGUCUCCCUUCAGACCUACGUCAUCUGGUACACACAAUCUAUUCCCAUAGUGGAGGAUCCCCUUGCUGUCAAAUCUGAACUCUUCAUUCUUGCCUGACUGAGUAGUCCUGGCAAUCUUCACUAACUCUGGGUCCUCAUGCUGUUUCUAAGCCACCUGCUCCAGAAACACAGGUGUUACUCUCAUCUGGGCUAUCAAAGCACCUGUACCAGACAACUCCAACUGCAAACCUUCAUUGAUGAGCUCGAAGAACUGCCUCACUACUGGUCUCCUCUCUGCUGAAAUGUGGGACAAACUGCCAAGUGAUUUCUGGCUUAAGGCGUCUGCCACAACAUUCGCCUUACCCGGAUGGUACCGAAUCUUGCAGUCAUAGUCACUAAGCAGUUCUACCCAUCUUCUCUGCCUCAGAUUCAACUCUCUCUGACUCAAGAUGUACUGCAGGCUUUUAUGAUCGGUGAAGAUCUCACAUUUUACUCCAUAAAGGUAAUGCCUCCACAUCUUGAGUGAAAAGAUCACCGCUGCCAUUUCUAGGUCAUGUGUAGGGUAAUUCAACUCGUGCUUCUUCAGCUGCCUAGAAGCAUAAGCAAUCACCCUUUCAUUCUGCAUCAGCACACAACCCAGUCCCACACGGGACGCAUCAUAGAAAACCGUGAAGUCUUCAUUACUAGUUGGCAGAGCUAAUAUCGGUGCCGACGUCAACCUCUUCUUUAGCUCUUCAAAGCUCUCUUCACACUGGUCGGUCCACACAAACCUCUGGUUCUUCUUAGUCAGUCUGGUCAUAGGAGCUGCAAUCUUAGAGAAAUCCUGAACGAACCUUCUGUAGUAACCUGCCAAACCCAAGAAGCUCUUGAUCUCUGUCACUGUAGUGGGUCUAGGCCAGUUAGCUACGGCUUCCACUUUCUUGGGGUCCACCUCGAUUCCAUUUUCUGACACAAUAUGCCCCAAGAAGGAAAUGCUCCUCAGCCAGAAUUCACACUUGGAGAACUUGGCAUACAAGCCGUGUUCCCUCAAGGUCUGUAGAACUAACCUCAGAUGAUGGGCAUGCUCCUCUGCAUUCCUGGAAUAUACUAAGAUAUCAUCUAUGAAGACAAUAAUGAAGUGAUCCAGGUAUUGACUGAAAACUCUGUUCAUGAGAUCCAUGAAUGCUACAGGGGCAUUGGUUAACCUGAACGACAUUACAAGGAACUCAUAGUGCCCAUAUCUGGUUCUGAACGCCGUCUUCGGCACAUCCUCUUCCCUUAUCCUCAACUAAUGGUACCCGGAUCUCAGAUCUAUCUUAGAGAAACAACCUGCUCUUGCUAGCUAGUCGAAUAGAUCGUCGAUCCUUGGCAAUGAGUACUUGUUCUUGGUAGUGACCUUGUUUAACUGUCUGUAGUCGAUACAAAGUCUAAGGGAUCCAUCUUUCUUUUUCACGAACAGCACUGGAGCACCCCAAGGUGAGGUACUCGGUCGGAUGAAGCCCUUAUCUACCAGCUCUUGCAACUGCUCCUUAAGCUCUUUCAAUUCAGCUGGUGCCAUCCUGUAGGGAGGGAUAGAGAUCGGUCUAGUUCCAGGCACCAAUUCAAUUUCGAACUCUAUCUCCCUAGCAGGUGGUAAACCUGGCAGCUCGUCUGGAAAAACAUCUAAAAACCCUCUGACCACGGGCACUGAGGCGGGCUCUCUGACAUGACUAUCCAGCUCUCUCACAUGAGCUAGAAAACCCUGACAACCCCUCCUGAGCAGCCUACCAGCCUGUAGGGCUGAUAUCAAACCUCUAGGUGUACCCCUCCUGUCUCCUCUGAAGACAACCUCUGACCCAUCCUGACAACUGAACCUGACUACCUUGUCUCUGCAGUCCAAGGUAGCACCAUGGGUAGAUAGCCAAUCCAUCCCUAGAAUGACGUCAAAAUCUGUCAAAUCUAGAACCACAAGGUCGGCAGAAAGGCAUCUCCCCUCAAUAAAAACUGGACUACACUGGCAGACUGACUUUGCCACUGACGGGUCACACUUGGGUCCACUGACCCAUAGGGGGCACUCUAACCCAGAGACCAUCAAACCCAACCUCUCAACGGCCCUCGGAGCAAUGAAAGAAUGAGAUGCACCAGGAUCUAUUAAGGCAUAAACAUCUGAACAACCAAUGAUGAGAUUACCUGACACCACGGUGUUGGAUGUAUUUGCCUCCUGCUGAGUCAUGGUGAAGAUCCGUACUGGAGCUGAUGGACCUUCACCCCUGAAACCCGCUGAAGAAGAGGCUGCCCCUCUCCCUCGGCCUCUGCCACUAGCCUGAGUCGCGGCUGGAGCUGCCGGCUGAGCCACACUACCAGAAGCUGUCUGCUGAGACGGUGCCACAAAAGCUGCUCUAGGACACUCUCGUGCCAUGUGUCCCUCCUGCCCACAUCUGAAGCAGGCUGUCAUCCCAAACCGACAUACUCCCUUGUGCGGCUUCCCACACUUCAUACAUGCUGCAUUAUCUGCACCUGAGCUCGAGCCACUUCCUAAUCCCAGACCUGAUUUGAUCUUGUUCCAGAACUUGUUCUUCUUUGACUUCUUGGUGCUAUUGCUCCACCUCUUGCUACCUAAACUCAAAGAAGAAGGGUCUAACCUUUCCCACCUGGGGUCUUGGAACUAGAAGGCUGUGCUACUGACUGUUUGACUUUUCCCUCGAUUAUUGCACUAACCUCCAUUCUCCGAGCCAUAUCCACAAUGGCAUGGAAACUCUCCCUCUCUGCUGACUGGAUCAAAGAGGAAUACCUGGAAUGAAGCUUCAUGAUAUACCUCCUUGACCUCUUCUGAUCUGCGUCCAAAUUUUGCUCGGCAAACGGCAACAGUUCCAAGAACCUGUCUGUGUACUCAUCCAUACUCAUCUCAUCUAUCUGCCUCAACUGCUCAAAUUCAAUCAUCUUUAACUCCCUUGAACUAUCAGAGAAGGCCCAUCCAGCGAACUCAUUCGCAAACUCCUCCCAUGAAAGACUAUCCACCCUCGGGUUCACAUAGUUUUUAAACCACUCACGGGCCUUCUUGCACUUCAGUGUGAACCCAGCCAUCUGAAUGGCUCUACUGUCAUCACCUCCUAUCUCAUCUGUAAUCAUCUUGACCCUCUCAAGGUACACAAACGAGUCAUCACCUGUCUCAAACUGGGGAGCACCCAGCUUCAUGUAAUCGGUCAUCUUGACCUUGCUCCCUCCAGAUGAGCUAGGCUUAGGCAUUUGGGUUUCUGGGACAGUAGGUUCUGCUGGUGGUGGAGGAGGUGCAGCAUCCCCUGGUGUAGGGUUUGUUGGACCUGGAUAAAAGGAUGGGGGUGGAUACAUAGGGUACUGUGAAUAUGGUAGGUAGAAAGGUGGGUAUGGCAUGUGAGAGUGAUAAGGGUUAAAGCUGGGGUAAUCCGAUGUACCUCCCAUCGAAUACCCGGGGUUCUGUGAAAAGGGUGGGUACUGGGGUGGCUGAACAAAUCCCGAGGCCUGAGUGCCUCCUUGAGACUCUCCCAUACCCUCUUCAGACAUACUCACUCCAAGACUGCCAUCCCUCCUCUGGUCCACAUCCAUAUCAUUCCCCACAUCUUCUGACAUUUCACCUUGCACUGUUCCUCUUCUGCUCACAUCAAAAGACCUUCUAGGGUCCCUUGAUGUUCUCUCCCUGUUAGACCUGCAGGACAUUGCCCUAGGCAAUGCAGGAGGACGAGCAUCCGUGCCCUCGUCCUGGGGUGGUACUCCAGUCAAUCGUGCAGAUCGACGAGUUUCUCUCAUCUUGCUUACUGAAAAACAACACACAACACAUAGAACAUUAGCAUCAAAUGGUUUAUGUGCAAACACAUGAACCCGCAUCACAUACAUCACAUACAUAGCAUAUCAUCAAUGCACAUGCAUAAAAUCAUAGUAUUUCACAUCAUCAUUCAAGACAGGACUCUACAUCCUAUCCUAGUGGACAUGAUUUUUUCUAUUGUGCUUGACCUUCUGGAACAUCUAUGAGGCCGACACUCUAGGUCCGACCAUAUGAACCUAGGGCUCUGAUACCAAUCUGUAAUGAUCCAAAAAUCGGACCGCUACCGGCGCUAGGAUCUAGAUCGGCUUAUGGCCGCCGAGACCCGUAGCAAGCCUAACAUACAACUUGUAUACCUAUAUAAUCCCAUACAUGAUCAACAAUUACAUAAAAAUUUUGAACUUUCCCAUUCAUUUACCAAACUUAACAUGUGCAUGCACAACUCAUAAUCAUAAUCCCCACACUGGAGUCCUCAUCAAAUGCUCCAAUGGGGUAACAUCACAUAUAUUAAGUUUGGUUUCCAUAAAACAUCAUCAACCCAUUACAUUUGAAAGAUCAUGUAACCAAAGGGAUUAACAUACAAACUAGGGUCAAGCACGAUUCUAUCUUCAAUACAAUUCUUAACAUUUCAUGACUAUUCAAUACAUUACAUUACAAUAUUCUCAUGUCCAUAACUAUUUAUUACAUAACACUUCUAAUCUUGCUGACCUCCUGGACUAGCCCGUACCUGCAAACCUGGGGUUAAGGGAGUGGGGUAAGCUACUAGAGCCCAGUGAGCAGAAUAAUAAAACAUUAUAUUAAAAGUUCAUGCUUUCAUGAAAUGCAUCACAUCACAAACAAAUCACGUUAAGGAUGAACUUGUCACCAAUAGUCCUCUACAUAUCCAAUAGUUCCAGGGACGU